GCAGAGCCUUUAAAAAUUAAAAUGGAUAUUAAAUGAAGUUUUCAGCAGUGUUGUGACUGUAUUUCUUAGAAUAUCAGAUUACUUUAUGGGCCUUCACUCACUUAAUUUGGAGCUUUCUCUGUAUUCCAAAUUCAGAAGUUGAAGAAGAAGUUGCUGGUCAAUCAGCACAGCAAAUGGAUUGUAAUUACUCCAGCCCCCAAAGGUGCAACAGAAGGAGGACUUCACAUUUAGAAAGACUAAUAUUCCUGCUGAACUCCAAAGGGCAAAAUAGCAGCGUCAAACUUGAAUAACUCAAGGAUGGAUGCACCUUUUUGAAUAAGUAGAUAUUCUGCUGACAGACGGAUUUCUUCAUCUUAUUGAUGAUUUUCCAGCUUAGUAAAGGCAUGCUUUAAUUAUGGAUAGGCAUCAAGUUAUGUCCUGGCAGCUGGAGUCCAGAAGUGACUUGGAGAAUCUGGGGGAGAAAAAGCAUCUUCCUUCCCUUAA